GGGAGUUCAUAACCCACUUGAAUCAAAGUGUGGAAUAUGAUAUGUCAAGAAAUUUGUAAUGUUUUGAAUAACCAACAAUAAAAAAUUAAAAAAAAUAUAUAUAUAUAUGUGUGUGUGUGUGUGUGUGUGUGUGUGUGUGUAUGUGUGUGUGUAUGUAUUUUUCCA
rnacentral:sRNA from 1 species